CUGUUUGGAACCUGGGAUUCAAAUGGCCUGGCAGGAAGUGCUCUAGCAGAGGGACUCUGGCCUUGCAAGAGUCCCUAUUUCCCCCUUUUUUUUUGCUUUUCACACAGUAAAACCCUGCUUUACUUCCCUUUGAGUCGUCUGUGAGCCUAAAUUUUUGUGGCUGUGGGAAGGACAAGAACCCCAUCUUUAGCUGAAAUAAGGAAAAGUUCCGCAACAUUUUUGGCACACACCCUGGGGGCUCCGGAAGUGAAAGUUCCCAGGAGAUGAAGACAUUGAAACUGCCAUCAUAAAAUUAAUAAAAGGUUCAAGAUUAGAAUUAUGGUAUUGGCCUGGAUUUUGUUAAGACAGAGACAUAGGAUUAUGUUGGCUCGGAGAAUGAUACCUCAAAGGCUGGUGCUGAGAGUUCUUAGAAGCUGCUUCAGAAUCAAGUUGUCUUCUCCUCAUAGUCCUCCACUAAAGCCUGAACAACAAGGUAGGACCAUUCGUUUUAUUUCCCCUUUUGUCCUGGCUCAUCUUUCUUUAUUGCUGAUGUGUUAUUCUUUGCAGGUAGACAGUUGUUUCCUCCCCCUGCUAUCUGUUCUGAGUCAGGGAGAAACGUCAACUUGGGUGACGACUAAGUUAGUGGUCAUUGCAAAGUUCUUUAGGAAAAAAAAAAAGUCUUAAAAUGUUUAAAUUUAUAUGUCUUACAAAUAGUAUUAUCUGAUUAAAGCAUAGACUUAGAAAUAUUCCCUGGCUUCUGAACUUCUCCACUCUUAUUGCACUUUGUUUCUAUGGUUGUAUUGUCAGCUUCUGUGAUUUUUUUUGUUGUUGUUGUUUACUGUAACUCUUUGGCAAGCCCUAAGAUACAGAAACUUCUUGGCCACCAGUGGUUUGCAGCAGGAUAAUAGAGAUAGGAAACAUAUUUCAUUGCCAAUUCUUUCUUAAGAUGUAAAUAGAUGCCAAGUUUCUUCCAGGGGCCAAAGAGGAAAGUACUUUUAUAUUAAGAUAAUUUACACAAAGGUUGUUGCAUCAUUAAAAUUGUUGAAGAAAAAUUAUUCAUGACACUUGUUAAAGACAGCAAGGCAGGCUUUAUUUAAGAGGGGCCGUAGUAGUAAGUAUAAGGACAUCUGCAAUGGGGUUUUGCAGUAGGGGAGAGAAAUUGGACUCAUCUUCAACUUCAGCAAGGACAAGUGGGGAUUAAAUUAAAAAGGAAAAUUAAGCUUUCCUAUUUAAAGCAGGAGCAGGAUGGGAGGUCAGUGAAUGAAAACUCACUAAGAGGAGGAAACAUCAGGGGUAAAGGGAAUUCCUGCUGAAGGCAGGCCAGGGUGAUAAGAUAUCAAGGGUGGUCAGGUACCUCGGUUGGGGGAUUUUCACUAACCUGACUUUAAACUGGAGUCUACAAGGACAGAGAGGGAAGCCCAAGGAUGGGCCUAGUCAGGCAGAGGACACUGAGGAACCUAACUAAAGUUUUGGUCAAAGGAGAAGUUAUUGUCACAACAAAUCCUAGAAAAAAAGCAAGCUUCAUUCAUAUCAGCAGUUCUCUAUUAUAAUAGUAAAAUUUUCCUUGGAAAAUACUGGAUUGGGAGAUAUUUUAGUGAGCACGGCCUUUGGGGUUUGUUACCUCCUUUGGGAGGAGGUAAAUGUUGGUUAACUUCUAUACAGAACCAUCCCUGCGUGGUUUUCUCUUACUAUUCAGGCUUGGAUUCUACCAGUUAAUUUUUACUCUUCUAUUAUGAAUGCUCCUUUCAUCAGCAGCAUCAAAAGUCUUGCCAGGUCUCUGAAAAUCUAGCUGUAGAAACUUCUGGAUUCUAGAAGGUUUGAUACAAUUAGUUUCAAUAAUGUUUUAUAAUAAUAUUGUGUUAGAAAAAUCCUGCCUUUUCCUUUUAUAUGUAAUAUUAUUUCAGAUUUCAGACUGUGAUGACUUUUGUUCAGGUAUGACUCUUAAAUACAGCCUGAGAUUUGUUUAAUACAUGGGUGUUUCCAGACAUAUGAGAUACCAAAAAAAGAGGAUUAACCAUGCAAAACAUUGAAGGUUCCACUGACAGUUCUGCCUUAGUGUUGGAAGUAGCUAUUGUGUACAUUGGCUUCUGAGCACCUUUCUUAAACUCCUGGCCUCGAGUGAUCCUCAUGCUUCAGCCUCCCAAAGCACUGGGAUUACAAGUGUGAGCCACUGUGCUGGCAAUGAGCAGCAUUUUUAUUUGUCUGUAUUUACAUAUGAACAGGUCCUCCCCCUGAGUAACAGGAAAACCAGGUUUGAUUUCAGCAUUGUCUUAUUUUGCUGUAUUAUUUUUAUUUUUAUAUUUUAUUUUAUUUGCUGUAUUGCUUUUAAACUUGUGUCUUGGUUUCCUACAUUCUUGGUCCCAAGUUGGCCCUUCCAGCUCUAAUAUUUUAUGAUUAUGGAAGAUUUAUCAGCAAAAUUACCAAGUGAUUAGUUCAAAUUGCAAUACCCUCUUUUUCUUUAAGAAUAAAUUCUGUCAAAUAGCUACUUUGGAAAAAAAAUCUAGCUUCAUAGAUGAAUUUAUUUUGUUAACCUACUUCUUUGAGUCCAGAAACUGUUUUAAAAGGAAGGAUUACUUUGAUUUAAUGAUUUUAUUUGUAAAUCUGCUACUGUACAUUUUUUAAAAAAAUAAAGGUUUCUGUGAACAAGUUAUAGAAAAAUGAAAUAUUGGAGUUGUGAAGGACAGUGAUCUUUCCACUAAAAUAUGAAAAAGGCAAAAGGGCAAACUCAUAACUCUGGAAAUAGUCAUGGCGUCUCUUUACCAAAUGCCACACUGUCCGCAAAUGUGUGAAGUGUCUCUGAAGGGCUCAGUGGAAAUCUAGCCAGGGCAGUACCUCUGAGAGUACACCAACACUGUUGGUAACAGAUGACAUUUUGGUUAUUAAUGAAGUAAAGAACUGAAAACAGGAAUUUAGUUGGAGACGGUCAGCUGGAGAGUCUAUUAUUAUGUACACAAUACUGUAGGUAACCAACUCAGUACUUACAGGACUAAAGGUUAAGACAACUAUAUUCUUCAUGAUAAUGUCCUGGAAGAUUUUUCUCAUUUUAAAGCAGUCACUUUUGGCCUUUCUCCUGAACAGACAGAUGACAAAAAUUGAUAAAUGAGGAGCAGGUGAAUAGAAGACAGAGCACUCUCCUUCAACAAACUGCAGUUUUAUUCCUGUACUAGUGAGAAUGUAUGCAAGAUGCUAUAUAGAUUUUUUUUUUACCACAGUUACAAAUAUAAAAAUGUAUUAAGCAAAUACAUAAUUUAAAUUGAAAGACUAAGGAAGUUCUUUGUUCAAAUACAGUUAGUUAGAAAUAUUGUGGGUAGAUGCUAUAAUAUGAAAAAAUAGAAUCAUCUGCCAUCUUAACUGGAUUUUCAGAGAAAUAAUAAAUGAUAUUAAAAACAUAAAAGUGCUCUAUUAUAGAACAUAAAAAGUUCAGUUGCUGUAUUUACUUACAUUAUUUAUGCUUCACACAAAUGAAGGAAUGGCUAGAUUAACCUGCACGGACAACAGUAUUAUUGGACACUGACUACCUAACAUCCAAAAUAUCAGGCCAGGAGCAAUUUCAAGAAGUGUGUGUAGAAUGUCUAUGAGCUGUGCACUAAUUUCCACAAGGUAGGAGUCGAGACGAGAUUAAAGACUUGGUCCUUGUUCUUGAGGAAUUUAUAAGCCCAAUAGUCCUGCAUAGAAAACCAGAAAUACUCUUCCAGUAGAGCACUGGUGCACCCUCUUGUCAGUGUGGCAGACUAGGACAUUCCACAAAGGCUGGUACAGGCUUUCCUACUAACCUGCAGAUGGAAUGCUGUCCAACUCUGCCACAAACUCUUAAAGCCACAAUUUCAUGUGUUCCUUUCUUGAUGGAGGUGCUUAUCUACGCACACAGCUAUUAGAACAUCUCAGCAUAACUGAACGUUUGUUCUUGGGGUGAGGAUAUUAUUUAUUAAAAUAGCUAUAACCAAUUCUUUUUGUGACUGUUCUAGAAGGGACACAUUGCAUUUGUCUGACAUUAUUCACAGUUUUGAAUAACUUAUUUUGGUGUCUUAUAUAAGAUCAUGUGAAUUGGCAUAGAGGUUAUAAAAAUAAUCUUUGGUAAACCUGUUAAUCUCUUAUUUCCAUUACAUAAGCCUCUAUUUUCAGAGCAUUCACCAACAAUUUCUUUAUUUAAUAAGUGUAUCUUAUAUAGACAAUCUUUUAAAAAAUAAAAUGCCUUAUUUGUGUUGCAUACAUUUAUUCCGAGGGAGCCUCCCUACAAGUCAAGAGUAUUCUCUUAGCCAGAAAUACUUCUAUUGCUAGAAACAUUUUUAGAACAGAACAGAUUUUUCCUGUUAUCAUGGCUGCAUCAAAUGUUACCCUGCAUUUUAACUAAAAUGGCCAAACAUUUUCAAAGUCAUCAUGCACUACAAGAAUCUAAGGCAGUGUGUCUAAAAUGCCAAACCCAGUACAUUUAGUUAAAUAUCUGGUCAAUUCAAAAAGCAAAAUAAAUUGAUUCAAUUGUUUAAUCAGUUAAACCAUCUGGCCAACAUAGAGUGAAUCCUCAAAAGGGCAACAUGUCCUAAUAGAAACGUGUGACAGGAUUGUCCAAGCACACCCAGGCCACACAGAAGAGAUGCCAUUUUAUCUUCAUGAUGAUGUCUGGUUAGAUUCUGUUUUGCAAAUAUUUUCUCUUUGCAUCAUUUCACUUGCUUUUUGCAGUCAUCGUUUACAGAUUUUCCUUUGAUAGGGAACAUUCUUUGAAUACCUGAUGUAAUUCUAAAUUUCAGGUUAAAAAUAGCAGGGCAGAAAAUUAGCACGGCAUUUUCUCCUUCAACUCUUCAGGAAUGAGGUAGGCUUGAGGGCUUGCUCACUGCAACUUGGAGGAGGAUCAGUUAUUCCUUAUUGCCACUCUGUCUUGGCUAAUCAGUUAUAUUUUCAUUUCCUCAGUGAAAUGGAACCCAGAAAGCCCUUGAACUGCUAUCAUAUACAAGCAGUUUAUUACCUAUUGAUUUUCACCAGGUCAGGUUUGGUCUGGCUCAUGUUUGUAAACUAAAACUCUAGAGCGUCUCAGAGUUUGGGCUCAGAUACUACCACUGCUGUUGUGCAGAUCUGGUAGCUUUAUGAUUUCAGGAUUCCAACCUCAAAGAAUUCUUAGAAAGCUAAGUGAAUGAGAAUUUAGUAUAUGGCCAAUAAUAUUAUUGCAAAAGGUAAGGAAAAUGUUUAACAUAAGAAACUGGAUCCUUAAACAGCAAGGCAAGAGAAUCAGCAUGUGAAGGGUAGCAUGUGAGGUCUAUUUUUAUAUUGCUGGACAUCUGGUAAAUGGUUUAAUAUUAUUUUCACAUGUCAUUUUGGGCUUUCUUCCGAGAGGUGAUUACAAAAUUUAUCAAAGACCCUCCCAAAGAAAACUGCCCCGAAAAUGUCUGUGUGCUGUGUGCCUUUUAGUAUUUAAAAGUGAAUUGGCCAGGUGCGGUGGCUCACUCUUGUAAUCCUAGCACUUUGGGAGGUUGAGGUGGGUGGAUCACCUAAGGUCACGAGUUCAAGACCAGCCUGGCCAACAUGGUGAAACCCCAUCUCUACUAAAAACACAAAAAUUAGCCAGACAUGGUGGCAGGCACCUGUAAUUCCAGCUACUUGGGAGGCUAAGGCAGAAUCGCUUGAACCUGGGAGGCGGAGGUUGUAGUGAGCUGAGAUUGUGCCACUGCACUCCAGCCUGGGCAACAGAGCAAGACUUCAUUUCAAAAAAAAGUGAAAUUAUGGUCAUCUCUUUGAUGAUGUGGAACCUGAAAGGACUAUGAAAUUAUACUCAUGGGUAUAAAAGAUAAUAUGAACAGUAGAUAAAAAUCACAUUCAACUGGGAAAACAAACAUAUUCAAGUAGGAGGAGUGGGGCAAGUAAUAAAACAGAGGGACUCAGAGGUUUAAGGGAUAGAGAAUUACUUAGGACAAAUAUGUGCAAGCCCAGGUAAGAGAGGUGAGUCUUUGAAAAUUCUGAUUCAAGAGCUGAACAAUUGGCUGCUUUCCAGAGAACAACAGAAUGACAAUACAAAAUUGAUUUAAUGAGAUGAGGUUAAAGGAGUUAAUUAUAACGAACUUGGAAAAAUAAUUAUUAAGAUGCUAGAUGGGACUCUCCCAAGAUUUGAUAGCUCAAAAGCACUUUGAAGUCUUGAUGAUUAAAGUGUACUGCACAGGUACACAGACAGGAUGCCCACCAAGACAGGAAAUGGAGUGUUUACCAAGACAUAACACAUGAUGCAAUUAAAUGGAAAUAAAUCCAAUAGAGCUGAAUGUCAAGGAAAACUUUUUUUUUCUCCUAAAUUUAAUAAAUAAGUCAAUUAUAUAUUUAGUCUUCCCAGGAGUAGGAGCGAAUAGUGAAAUAUUUGUUGCUAAGAAGGUUUAAAAUUAGGUGUAGGGUAGGAAUAAACAUUUCCUGGGUUGGAUUAGACUAAAAAAACCUACGAUUUUUCCCUGUCAUGUCCAUUUACAUAAUUCUGAUACUACCCUAGAUGUUGCCAGAGUACGUGAGUGUUAUUUACUAUUACAGAUGCAUAGGUUUUUUUUAUGGUUUUAACUCCUGGUUUGUGCAAUUAAUUGCUCUCUCUCCUAGAUCCAGAGGUUUGCUAUUAAAGUAGCAUUAGCACUUUCCAGUGUGUGGCCUGUGGAAGGUGACCACUGUCCUAGACUGGCUCAGUUAUCCCAUUCCCUUGAUGAGGCUGUCUUUUAAGCUCAAUUGAAGGUAGUAACAACAAUCCUAACUUUAUGAGGAUUCUCUUUAUGUGAGUAGAAAUGUGUAGAUUCUGGAACAGUGCCUAGCAGGUUGCAGAUACUUACUAGAAGUUUUCUGAGUGAAUGAAAAGUCGAAAAUGAAUGUAUCCUUCCAAGCAUUAAUGUGCUUUGCAUCAAGCAACAUUAGUGUAAAAUUCUGCUUUUUCUCUUUUUUCUUUUCAAUGUAGGAAAGGUGAUUUCUAAUGGAUGCCACACGUUGUAGAUCUCUGACCUCUAUUUUCUCGCUGGUGGUACAUCUACUGCACUUACACAUAUGUUGUUCCUUUUCAUUUCCAGAAGAUUCACUUAGUUCCUUGAUACAGAAUCAGAGCUUAAGACUGUCAUUUCACAAGAGCAUUGAGCACAAUGAAACUGUGAAUCUUUGAAGCUUAUGAUUAUGCUUCACAUUUUUGUAAACUUCAAAUAACCUUGGAAAAAUUUCCAGAUUGGGUGUAGAGUUAUUUAAUUAUAAAGAACUAUUUUAGGUAUAGUCAAUGAUUUUCAAUUAUUAUGUCAAUUACAUUCGUUGUAUUCACUUACGGACUUUAUGGUAGGUUACAAAAAUAUAUACUUUGAAAAGAAAUAUACUCUUUAUGCAAAGGAAGCUAUGCCAUCAACAAACUUGACCUCUAAUUCCCAAGUUUAUUACAGAAAAAUUUGUAGUGUGAAAAAGGCAAACAUCUCCAGCUCAUCUUCUCAGGUAUCUAUGAAGAUUCCGUACAAACUCCUUUCAAAUUUUUCCCAGGAAUGCUGUCGGAACUGGACCUUGAUGAAGGAAAUACUUUCUGACUCAUUGGAAUUUGUUAUAGUCAAAGUAAGUAAGGCACAAAUAUUGAAGAUAAACUUGGUACAGUAUGUAGUGCCUUUUGUUAUUAAAUGCAACUUUGGGUGAUUACUUGACAUUUUGACUUCAUUGAUUUACUAAAAGAAGUUUUGAAAAUUUUACUGAAGACCACUGUUUUUGUUUUUGCUAUUGUUUUUAAAUUUACUAUAUAUGAUGUUUGUAGUCAUUUCUAUGAAAAUGUUGGCAUUAAGCCUUUUAAUGAGGGGCACAAUCUGCUACCAUAAUAUUCUUUUAAUGGGAAAUCAAGUAGGAAUGGAUAAUUGUGACUUUUCUAGGAAUGGAGACCACUGAAAAUGAGACAGAAACUAGUGUGUAUAAAUACAUUACAGUAUGGGUGUGGAUGUUCACACUCCACACCAUGAAUGCAAUGAAAGGAUCUCUAAUCACUGUAGAUAGUGCUUUGCAUGUUAUGUUUCCAGUCUGGGUAUAGCUGGCAUCUUAUUAACAAAAGGAAUUCAUCACUUCUGUUUGGAAUCAUUCUCUAUCAGAACCCUCAACCCUGCAUCCUACCAUCCUGGGCUUGCACUGCAAGUUACAUGAUCCCUGAGCUGACCACUUUGGCUUGAAUCCCUGGAAGGAGAAAGGAGAGAGAGAGCAACUAGUUCAGACACAAGCAUCUAGUUCAGCUUUGGUACUGCUUAAUUCUUUUUUCUCCCUCCCUCUAAUCCUUUUUUUGACUGUCACAUUUGUCCUAAUAGCAAGUUAGGACAUGUCUGUUGGCUCUCGAGAUUCAUGGGACAGCAAUGCAGCAAAUCUAGCCAUAGUAUUUGCUCUCUCUAGCCCUGCCCUUUUUCCUGUCCAGUGAAUAUCAAAACAGGUAGAAAACAUGGCCUGAAGGAUUGUCUCUGCCACCACCUCCAUAUGCAUUUUACCAGUAGUCCUGUCAUACAGGUUGAAUUAGUUUUAUGUAGAACAAGUCAUGAACACUUUAGUGUGGAAAAAUAGUAUUAUAUAAAGCUUAAUAUUAAACAUUAUGAAAAAUACAUAUUUACAGAAGAAACUACAAAAUACAACUAUGUACAAUAAUAUCUGUUACCUUUAAAUUAUAUAAAAUUUUAAACAUUCUCCAGAUUAAUAAAUUAUACAUAGUAUCAACAGAAAUAGCUGGCACCUCUGUAGGGCAUGAAGCAAGUUUUUAAAAACAAAUCACACAGUGAAUAAUUUUUAUCCAGGAGCUCUUCAGGUACAUUCUCAAUGCCUUGAAUAGACUGGAUCUGAAAGGAAGAACACUGUAAUUAGAGACUGCCGCAGGGUGUGUCAUAAUUGUUUACGCUGUUUAUGAAAAUUACCAAUGUGAAAGACCAGCAGAAACAUAUAGCUCAACCUAGUUUAAGAUGAGACCAUUCCUAUUGGGACCAGGUAAUUCCAUUUAGAAAGACAGAUUAUUAGACUUGGAAGGGACUAGUGAUUCUAGCCCAUCGCCUCUGUUUUUAUGGAUGAAGCCAUAGGCCCAGAGAGGCAGAGUAACUUACUCAGGGUUACACAGCUUGUUACAGCUAGUUAGUUCGAGAGUUCGGACCUGAAUCUUAGCCUUCAGCUACGUGGUGGUUAUCCUUUUCUAUACCAUAGUUAGCUUCUUUCAGGAGUGCUCAAGAUUACUCUAAAAAAAGAUUCUUAAGUCAAAACAAGACAAAGGAACCUCCAAGAUCCCUCAGAACUUGCUCAUACUGAAGCCUCUUAAGGAAUCUCCCAUGCAAAAACCUUAAUUUACUAUACAGAUCAAUUAGGGUGUAAUUUGUAAUUAUUCAUAAUACAAAAUAAUUAUCUGAUUUACAAAGGACUCCUCUAAAUAGUAGCUCUUUAUUUGUGCUUUACAGAUGCUAACUCAUUAACAUACUGGCUAGGCUGGGUGGUAGAGAGAACUAAGUAAAAGGUUAGGAGACACUACCUGUUGAAGAUCAUUUAGAAUGGAGAUAAGAGGGUAUGAAAUAAUGUUUGUCAAAGAAAGAUUAUCUGAUUUAUAGAGAGAUACCAGUCCACAUGGCAAGGAAUUGUGGCUGCAUCUGCCCACAGCCAUGUGAACAAGCCAUUAUGAAGCGAGUCCUCCAGCCCCAGUCAAACCUUCAGAUAAUGGCAGCCCCAGUCUAAGUCUUGACUGCAACCUCCUGAAAGACUCUGGGCCAGAGCCACCAGUGAGACAAUAAAUGCUGAUUUAAACUGCUAAAUGUUGGGGUAAUUUGUUAGGCAGUAAUAGAUAACUAAUACAAUCCUCCUUCACAUUUGCAGUUUGCCUAUGUGAUAACUUAGGUCUUCACGAUGGCCCAGAGUAAGACGACGCAGGAGGACCCUUCUAGUCAUUUAAUUAUUGCUUGACCAGAACUGUGCCUUGUAAGAAAUGCUUGCUGUUUGGAAACUUGUGAAGACCUGCAUCCCUUUGUAUCUCAAAUAAAGACAGAGGUGUUUCCAGACCUAAGAAUAACAGGAACAUGGAGGAGUGGCAUCUCCAGUGUAGCCACCCACCAAAGCCUCAUCCUGAACACUAUGGCCUAGUGGGUCACUUACAGGGAUGUAGCUGGCAUUGAUGUAGUCAGAGCAAGGAUCAUCAUCUACAUUGGAGAGCUUCACUCGCGUGGCAUCAUCUGGAAGGAGAGAUUUGCUGCUGAGUCUUGGAGUGACUUUUCUACAGUUUAUGUGAUGUGUGUGAUGUGCCUUAGCUCUGAUCCCCACAACAGCCACAGAUGGGAAGUGAUCUUAUCUCCAUUUUGCAGAUGAGGCUCAGGCAGGAUAACUAACUUGCCCCAUGUUGCAUAGGUGGCCUAUAACCAGUCAGACACAGGAGACAACAUGAAGCCCCAUCUGUGCUUCCCUUUCUGACAUUACCACAUUUGCCUGAUGGAGUGGCCAGCUCCCUUUCACUGCUGGAAUGAAUACAAUCCAGAAAACCUACCUUCUAUUGCUUUACCUAAUGGGGUAAGGAAAUUUAAGUAGAAAUUGCUAACCGAAGACUUUGCUAAGCAAACCCAGGUCUGCUUGAUGUCAGAGCCCUUGCUGUUAACCCCAUUUACUGCUUAGCCUCCAAAGAGAAGCAAUAGCAUCACAUGGGGAAAUGUCAACAGCAUAAGAGGACUUUCAUAAUCAGAAUUUAAACUGGCUAUUAUCCCUCUGGAGGGAAGUGCAGGAAUAUACAAGCUAUUUCUUAUUAAAGGCAUUCAGAGCUUGAGAUUGUCCAUAUCGAGCUAUAUUAUAUUUCUUUAGCCUCAUUUCAUUUUUGGAGAAAAAUGCAGAAAUGGCUAGAGGAAGACAGUAUUACAAAUUUUGACACAAAACUUACAGGGCAAUAUAUUGUUGUAUCGAUUUUUCCCUCUAUUCUCCGGCAAGAGUGCAAUGUCACAUGACUGGUUUCGGCCCACGUCUUUUAACUCCUGUUAGGUCAAAUAUGAGUUUGUAAGUGGAGAAUAUGAAAUAGAAUAAAGCAAAUCAUACAGUCCUGGAGAUAACAUAAUAACAUGAAAAUAUAUACACUAGCUAUUGUUUAUGAAUGCCUAGUACUCAACAUGCAUUAGCCCUGAUCCCCACAACAGCCCCACAAGGGAGGUGGUGGUCUCACUAUUUUACAGGUGAGGCUCAGUCAGGAUAACUGAUGUGCCCCAGGUCACCCAAGUGGCAAACCUGAGAAUCAGUUCCAAAAGCUACGUGCUUUUUGCGAAACCACGGCAUCUUCCAGCCAAGCAAAUGGCCAGGCUGAAUAUCUGACAGCUUUAGGUCUGCAUUUGAGAUUUGUUAAUUCUUCCUUACUAUCUGAUCCAGGUAGCCCUUGGUUUGCUGUGUUAUUCUGGAGCUCAAGCUGGCCUCUAAGAUUAGAUGGUAUAUUCUAUUCAGGGCAUAGUUUAGGCAUAAAAGAGUGCUCAGCUGAGAUUCUAAGCAGCCUCCUAACUUCUGAGCUCAAUCAGCCUAUGAUGACACAGUAAACAUUAGGAAGGAAAUUCUGCUAAGAACUAGGGAUGCUGAAGCUUCAUUCUGCCUGAGUUGUACCUCGUAUUCCUUGGAUAGAAGGUAGUUGGAGUCAGCCUGUAGCUUCAUGAAAUGCCCUUCAAACUGAUUUAUUUUUAUUGGACUGUAAUUAAAAAUGAAACAAACAGAAAAGAGUUACUGCAGAAAAGGGAAAGUGCCAUAACUAUUCUGACUCAUAUUUCAAAGGCAGAUAAUAUAGUAAUUAAUGUGUUCUCUCUCUUACCAAGAAGUUUUCCGGUUACUGUGAAGAGAAGCCAAAAGAGGAAGACUUUGUUAGCAAAUUUCACAUAAUACCAUCUUUCAACAAAUUAUACGAAGGCAAAUGUGGUGCUUACCCUUUCUGGCCCAGGUUUAAGUGGACAGAUAAUGGUCGAUCCCUACGAAUGCUCAGACGGGCAGAGGGUCUUUCUCGACCAUGGCUGAAACAUAAGGGAGAUAACUUUUAUUCUGAUUAUGAUACUUGGCUUGAACAAAUUUUUCCAUUUAUGGUAAGGCUGUGGAUGUUUGUGCAAAUAUGGAUUUUUCAGUAUUCAUACAGAUUUGCACUCAGCCAACAUCUCUGAGGGAGGGAAAGGAAAGAGAAUAAAGUAGAUCAUUCCCACCCAGAAACGGAUCUCUGCAAAAACUGAAGAUUUGUCUCCUGGUUUUUGGCUACAGGUUAUAAUCACUUCCCACAUUCUCAAUAAAACUUUGCUUUAAAAAAAUCCAGUAAAUUUCAGAUGCCAGACACGACUUCAAUAAAGAGGAACAUGUGCCAAAUUAAGAAAAAAAAUUCACUAAGAGAAGAAGGCACGACACUUGGGGCCACAUGCUAUUUGGUUCUUUUUGGUCCCUUCUUAAAUUAGGAUGGCAGAUAUGAACUACAAAAUGGUGAUGUCAACCACACUUUUCAGGAUAUUUCAGAAAAGCACUUGGGCAUGCAAUUUGCAAACAUCUCUGUCUUCAUGAGGAUAUGAACCACACACACACACAAAAUAUUUUUUUCCUGUGCAAAAGGAGUCACUUCAUCUUUAAAUAAAGCUAUAGAUGGCCCCUCAGUCCUUUGGUAAGGGCUGAAUUCAUCAAUGGGAUAUAAAAGAGCUGAGAAAAGUGAGUCAUGGCUUUAGAGUUUGACUUGUUUUUAUUGAGAAAACAGUGACAAUUUAACCUGGAAAAAUUAAAUUAUUUUCCCUUCUUAGUUUUCAGCCUAAAGGGAAUUUUCAGUUGCAUUUUUAAAGUUGUGGGUCCAAUCACCAAAAGGAUCUUUGUACUUACCUCACUUUCUGUCUGCAGAUCAAUAAGGCAACAACAGCCACUAGCAUGCCAAUUAAAAACAGACCAGCACUCACACCUUCAAUAGCUCCAAACAAGGGCUCUACAAUAAUCCAGAUAGAAACAACAAACGCAGGUGGGAAAAUUAGUGCUAGGGAACCAGUAAGAAAGCUAUUGAAGCCAUAUCUCCCAAGUAAUGUUAUUACAAAUAGAAUUCAAGUGAUGCCCACGAUGAGGCAUUUACUUUCCAAAGGCUCUGAGUAUGCACCUAAGAAGAUGAUGAAAGGCUGGCUCCCACCCUGUAGCAGUGAGGCCAGGUGUCACUGCAUACUUUUGAAGUUAAUGUUGCAUAGCUUAUAGAGGAAUUUUGGACUUUGCACUUGUAUAUAAAGCUUGGGGCACCUGAGAUAAAGGCCAUAAGUUUGCCACCAAGAUAAAAAUGCCAUUUCAUUUAUAUAAAACAUGUUACACAGCAUCUGGGGCUUUGGAAAAUCCAGUGGAUUGCUUGGAGCUAUUCUAAGAAGUCUUAUUUUUAUUAUCUGGUAUGGUAACGCUACUGGGAGUUUAUGAAGAGGUAAGAGUGGCCUCAUUUUUAAAAUAGCUUUAUUGAAAUAUCAUUCAUAUAGCAUGCAACUCACCCAUCUAAGUUGUACAAUUCAGUGGUCUUUAGUAUAGUCAAAGUUUUGCAAAUGUCACCACAAUCAAUUUUAAAACAUUUUCAUCACCCUCAAAAGAAACCGCGUACCUAUUAGCAGUCAGUCCCACUCCUCCCUCCCCGCGAUCCCUGGCAACCACUAAUCUACUUUCUGUGUCUGUGGAUUUGCCUAUUCUGGAUGUUUCAUAGAAAUGAAAUCAUAAAUCUGUGAUCUUUUGGGACUGGCUCCUUUCAUUUAGCAUAAUGUUUUCAAGGUUCAUCCAUGUUAUAGCAUAUACCAAGAUUUCAUUCCUUUUUAUGGUUGAAUAAUCGUCCAUUGUAUGGAUAUAUCACAUUUUGUUUAUCCAUUGAUGGACAUUUAAAUUGCUUCUACUUUUUGGCGAUUAUGAAUAAUGCUGCUAUGAACAUUCAUGUACAAGUUUCUAUGUGGACAUAUGUUUUCAUUUCUCCUGGGUAUAUACUGAGGAGUGAAAUUGCUGGGUCGUAUGGUAACUCUAGGUUUAAUAUUUCUAUAAACUGUUUUUCAAAGCAGUGACACCAUUUUACAUUCUCAUAAGCAGUGUAUGGAAGGUUCUGAUUUCUUCAUAUCCUCACUAACUCUUGUUACUGUCUUUUUGAUUAUAGCCAUGCUACUGGGUGUGAAGUGGUAUCUUCUUGUGAUUUUGAUUUGCAUUUCCCUAAUGAUUCAUGAUGUUGAGCAUCUUUUCAUGUGCUUAUUAGUCAACUGUAUAUCUUCUUUGGAGACAUGUCUAUUCAGAGCCUUUGCCCAUUUAAAUAUUGUGUAAUUUGGCUGGGCACGGUGGCUCAUACCUGUAAUCCCAGCAUUUUGGGAGGCUGAGGCAGGCAGAUCACGAAGCCAGGAGUUCGAGACCAGCCUGGCCAACAUGGUGAAACCUUGUCUCUACUAAAAAUACAAAAAUUAGCCGGGUGUGGUGGCGCAUGCCUGUAGUCCCAGCUACUGGGGAGGCUGAGGCAGGAGAAUUGCUUGAAUUUGGGAGGUGGAGGUUGCAUUGAGCCAAGGUGGCAUCACCGCACUACAGCCUGGGUGACAGAGCAAGACUCCGUCUUGAAAAAAAAAAAAUAUAUAUAUAUAUAUGGCCUGGCGUGGUGGCUUACGCCUGUAAUCCCAGCACUUUGGGAGGCCGAGACAGGUGGAUCACAAGGUCAGGAGAUCGAGAACAUCCUGGCCAACACGUGAAACCCUGUCUCUACUAAAAAUAUAAAAAAAUUAGCCAGGCGUGGUGGCGGGCGCCUGUAGUCCCUGCUACUUAGGAGGCUGAGGCAGGAGAAUGGCGUGAACCUGGGAGGCGGAGCUUGCAGCGAGCCGAGAUCGCACCACUGCACUCCAGCCUGGGCGACAGAGCGAGACUUUCUCAAAAAAAAGGAAAAAAAAAAAGGAAAAAAAUAUAUAUAUUACACUAUAUAUAUAGUGUAAUUUGUGUUUUUAUUAUUAAAUUGUGAGGUAAGAGUUCUUUAUAUGCUAUUCAGCCCUUAUCAGAUAUGUGAUUUGGAAAAUAAAUAUUUUCUUCCUA